rfam:Populus trichocarpa isolate Nisqually-1 chromosome 3, whole genome shotgun sequence.
UCUAGAACUCGAGAUAUGGGCUGAACAUUGAACAGUGUCUGGGCUGCAGGACAAAUUCGGACUUCUCCAUUGUUGCUAUAAUUUGGACUUGAAAACGGCUUUUGUAAAUCUUGGACUCUACAUGAAAGUUAUAGGCCUAUGUCUUACCGAAUCUGUC